GGAAAGGUGGCUGAGUCAGGUUUAAAGCGAUGCUUUGCUAAAGCAUUGAGCAGUUUUUAGCUGCUCCGCAGGUUCGAAUCCUGUCCUUUCCU
rnacentral:tRNA from 1 species